CAUAUUUUUAUCCUGUAGAAAAGUUAUCAUACAACAUUUGAUAGUGAAAAUAUAAUCAAUUUUGCAAUACAAUGUUUAUUCUUUUACAGUAUCUAGGUGUCAAAUGCAACCAUGUCCCUUUGUGUUGCAAUCAAGAAAAUGAUGAUUCCCAACCAGGGAUCGUAGUAGAGAUGGAUGAAAUCGUCCAUGUUUGAGAGGAGAGCAAAAGACGAGAGCAGUUGGAAUCUAAGGAUAUUCCCAAAUUUCCCAGGAGGUCUCAACAGAGACUGAGAAGAAAAGGGGCCUGAUAACAGGUUGGGAGCACGGAAUCGACAACUUCUGCUCCCAUCUUGAAUCUCUACCCUUCCAUUGAAGAAAAGUGGCUGACCACAAUGUAUCCAAGUGUCAAGUGCAACAAGGUCACUUUGUACAACAAUUCAAAUAACAAAG